AAAUAAGAAACAAAUUUUGUAUUUAAUUUCGACUUAAAAUUAUGAGUAUUAUAACUCCUUAUUUA
rnacentral:tRNA from 1 species